GUUUCUUGGCAACCGAGGAUCUGUUUCCGUCGAGCCAGGCGCUGGGGGCCCCCUGCACCGGGCAGCCCUGGGCGCUGGUCAUAAGGACCCAGGAAUGUCAGCGUGAAGCAGCUACCGUCAUCUCACGGGAGGAUGCUCAACGCCCCAGGCCUGAGAGCGACCUGCCCUGGGCUCCAAGGAAGGGAGGCCGAUGGAGGCUACAGCCUUCUCCGUCCACAGCACCCAGAAAACAGCUAAUGCCCCCUGCCGCGUGGUGGGUGAAGGGAGAGUGACCAUCCCCCCCAGCCUGCCCGGGGCCGUCCCAGGCACGUCUGGGGCCCCCACGUACCAGUUAUUGGAAGCACCUCUCACUCUCAGUGUCGGUCGCAGGGACUGAGACACCCGCUCUCAACUCCAGGGCCAGCCGGGAGCUGCGUGAGCCUGGCAGGAAGGGUGGGGCACAGGUGCUGGACGACGAGCCACCUUGGCCAACAGGCCACAGGGAGCGUGAAACGGAGAAGUCGACACGCACACCCGCCCCGGAGGAGCCGCGGGGAAGGUCGAGGCAGGGCGCGGGAGAGACGCAGGGCCCGGCCGCUCCAGGCUCGCCAGUGGACCACGGGCGGUUCCCGAGCCGGGGCCUGAUGCGGUGCCCACGGCCCGGCCGCUCCUCGGCUCAGACUUCAGACGUGUGGUUCAAGAAAACAAAACCACCUAAACUUCUAGGUUCCUGCUCCUUUUCCAAGCCUGGUUCUCCAAGCUCCCCUUGAUUCUGCGAGAUACCUGGUCUCCCGCCAAGUCCCUCUCCAACCGCACGGGCGCUCAGGGGCGACGGUCCGGCCCUGCGCGGUGGCCCUGAGGCAGCCGAGCCAUCCCCUCGGCGGGGGCGGCCAGCAGGAGGCCGGCGUGGACCCCCGGGGUGGGGGUGCUGAGCAGACCCUGGCGGCGGGGGCCGUAUGGGCCCCGAUGAUUCCAGUUGCCGGGUGGCCGCUGUCAGAACUGGGGCUUCGAGGAAAGAAAACACACACCCCACCCCCCGAUUCCUGGUUUAGAGACUGAACCCCGGGCAUCUGCUGAGAUCGCAUUGCAAAACGUCUUCGCUCUGGAAGACGCCGGGGCAGGGUGACUCUUUCCAGUUAGUGUCCGCUUUUGAGGCGCUCAGACUCGGGGGCCCGUCACGCGAGCCAGGACAGCCAUCCACGAAGAACGGGCCCCCGGGACUUAGAAGGGGCGUUGAAUGCCGCUGCGGCCCCCAAAUCAGAGACGGAGCUCAGGCGACCUGGGGAUAAAUGGGCUCUGACCUGUGCCCCCUCGGGUGCAUCCGGGGUGCUCCCCUAACCCUCCCCGGUCUUUCUCCGGCUCCUCUGGGAUAGCACCUAGCGGAACAGUUGGCUCCUGACCCUGGGCCGAAGAGGAGCACAGUGGGGACCCCGCAUGCCGCCUGCUGCCGGCCCCAAAGCCCCGCCACGUUCCUGAGGAAUUUAUAGACAGAGAGGCCGCAGGCCCCGGACGCGAGGAACGCACUUGCUGCCCGAGCACGGCUGGUGGAUCAGAGACGGACGCGGCAUCCGUCACCCAGGGCUGGAUUCGGCCCCCGUGCACGCAGGUUUGCACAGACGCUCCCGUCUCAGGCACGUACCACAGGGUGGCCCCCAGAAGUCUGGACUGUUCCACGGUACCCCGGGCCACAUGGGGACCUCACACUGUAGGACGUGGUGCCUGGCCUGCCAGAGGAUGGAGGAGAAGCCCACGGGGGCGUGCGACCUCCCAGCGGAGCUGUGUGUGUGAGGGUCUGAUGGCCUGGGACGGGCCAGGACAUCCGUCCUCGUCCUCCAGCUGCUCAGAAAGAGGCCACAGGUUCAGGGACCUUGGUGGGUGGGGAGGACCCCCAGCUCCUGGCAGGACAGAGCCAAAGCAGACCCCAAGGACGGUCCCUGACGAGCAGGGACGAGCGGAGAUGCCUACGGCCCGCGAGAGGCUCCAGCAGCGCCAAACGAGAUUGUCGAGAUUGUCGGAGCCCCUCUAAAGCCCGGGGUAAUUGCUUCCAGGGGGUUUAUGGUCCCCGGGAGUCGCGAGCCACGCCCCCUCGGCCGGGAAGGCCGCAUUUCACCACCAAGGACACGACCCUGGGUAUUUACAGACGGUAAUGAGACUGUCCACUGCUCGAUGUUGCCAUAAAUAAGCGGCGAAACUGCUGAGUUUCACGCAAUUCUCCCUGAUUGCCUGGAAGGCCCCAUUAUUUUAAUAAAAAAACUAAUCAGCAGCC